CCCAAGUAGAUGUGACAAGGACAUAUCAUGUUGAGUAGUACUAGCAUAGUAUCACUCAAAUGAUAUUUCACCCAUAUCACGAUCUAUGUUGCUCGGACUCGGGUAUAAGGUGCGGGUGCGAAUCUAGGAAUCGGGCACCCAACUUGAAAAAUGCAGGAUACACAUAUAUGGAUCCAAAAUUGGACACGCGUAUACCGGGAUACGGUAUAGUAUAAUAAUCAAUGGCAUUGAAUUGAUUACAACGAAACUCAAAUAUGGUAGGUGACAUAUACUAUUAUGCAAUUUAGAGUCAAUUUAUUUGUAUAAUGUCCAUUUAACCGUUAUAUACUUGUUAAUAAAAAGAUAAUAUGGUAUAACAAAUGACGAAAGAAGUCAGAAACUAUUUUUGUGUUUUAAAAAAUAUUCAGCAUACACACAGGAUGCGCUGGCCUGUAGUGAUAUUUGAGAAGAGAAAUUAGGGUCAUCUAUGGCUUUGGCCCUUAGCAAAUUGCUAGAAUAAGUAUUUGGACAAAUAGGUAAUCAUCAAAUAAACAUUUCCCAAACUUUCUUUGAACCCACACUAAAAAACAAGUAUCAACAUUCUAAUUGAAACAAACCCAAAAAAAAAUAUAAUGAAAUUAGUAUCAAGACUUAAGCAUAAAGAAUUCCCACAUAACCUCUGGUAGCAUGGGCGGAGGGCACUGGGUCAUGUGGGGUCACUUGAGCCACUGACCUCCAAAUUCUGUCUUGAUAAAUUGAUUGUGAACUUGACCCCACAAUUAGAAUGAAAUUAUCCUCAGCAUGAAAGAAUUCCUAGUGAAACUACAUUCUUGUGCCCUUUUUGGUACUAUAAUUUUGCUAACAACUGUCUAAUAGGCAUGGAUAUUACACACACAAUGCUAAAAAAAAAGUACUAUUUUGACAAAACUCUCACGAAGAUCAAUUGACACUCAUAGAUUUGUAUGCAUCUUUCAUCGGUGUUGAGACAAUUUAAGCAUAUUAAUCACUGCCCUAGGGCAAGUGGGUUGGAGUGCAGUUGGUGCCUCCCUUAUACUCCCAUACACAUAGGCAGGGUUCGAUUCCCAGAAGCACUCAUUCCCCUCCCCAAGUAGAGUAGAUUAGGAUUAACGAAUGGCAAAAAAAAAAAAAAAAAGUCACUGCCCUAGGGAUUGUGGCUAGCAAUUUUUCCAAGGUUGACUAGCUAAUGGGCAACAAAAUCAAGUAUGUCUCUAAGUAUUGACCCGACUGCUCAAAAAUGCUGGCUCCGCCCAUGUCGGGUAUAGAUCUGAACAACUUCCAUAUUCACCAUCACACCACCCAAAUUAUAACAAAAAGUUAUCUGAACCUGGAAACCGAACACACAAGUACUACCAAUUGAAGCAAAUCCGAAGGGUUUUGGCCAAGUGGGCAUGAGAAAAGCUAUUAAGUGCUAGUCCCCAUGAGGUUGCAUGUUUAGAUAUCAUGUAGCACCAACAUUUCAAUCCUCGGGGCCACUAGAGGGAUUCAGGCCUCGGAAUUAGUCCAAUUGCGUGCAAGCUGGUCCGGAUAUUCGGUUAUAAAAUAAAUUCCAAUUGAAGAAAACCCACAAAGAUAUGAAUCAAUUACCAAUAAUCAAACCCAUAGAAUGGCCAAAAAAAAAAAAAAACAACAAA